AUUGAACGCUGGCGGCAGGCCUAACACAUGCAAGUCGAGCGAGCGGCGGACGGGGGAGUAAUGUCUGGGAAACAGCCUGAUGGAGAGGGGUAACUACUGGAAAAGGGAGCUAAUACCGCAUACCAUCAGAAGUGUCCAGAUGGGAUUAGCUAGUAGGUGGGGUAACGGCUCACCUAGGCGACGAUCCCUAGCUGGUCUGAGAGGAUGACCAGCCACACUGGAACUGAGACACGGUCCAGACUCCUACGGUAGGCAGCAGUGGGGAAUAUUGCACAAUGGGCGCAAGCCUGAUGCAGCCAUGCCGCGUGUGUGAAGAAGGCCUUCGGGUUGUAAAGCACUUUCAGCGGGGAGGCGUUACCCGCAGAAGAAGCACCGGCUAACUCCGUGCCAGCAGCCGCGGUAAUUC
rnacentral:rRNA from 1 species